UCCCAAGCCAAUCAGAAUCCGCCACUUUCCACCUUCACUGACGGCGGAGGGCUGGAGGGCAGCGACGCUGGACACCUAGGAAGCUGACCACCACGACACGUGAUCUUGUGAAGAAACUUGGGGCCUGCCUCUUGGAGAAAGAGAGAAUAUGUUAGAGCCAGAACAAAUCACCAGACAUGUGAAUGAAGUCAUCUUUAAGACACCAGACUCAAUCAAGGCAUACACCUUUCAGUACUGACAAGAAGGCUGGCGUCACAUUUGGGCAAUGUCUCAAGAGCUGUCUGAAGACUCACUGAACAUCAAGUCUGUGAAAACACGUUUCCUUCUCAAUGGAAAUAUAAUCACCCCCUGAUGUUCUUCAAAAGAAACAGAGUUCUGAUCUGAAAAUCAGAUGGUUUAUAGUAUUAGGAAGAAAACAAUAAAUUUGAAAGUAUAAUCAAUUGGAAAGCAA